GUAAAUCCAAGCUUCAUAAUUGCAUUUUGCUUUUAGAAUUUGACUUUAAGACCGCGACGAGAGCCAACUCCUUCUGAAUCGAACAUCAACAUCCUCAAUAGGAACCAUCGUUUUGUUGACCAUUGCAAAUUCUUUAAAUUUGUUGACCAUGCCAUUAGCCCGCGAAACCAAUGACAUUAUUACUUCAUAUAUGGGCACAAAUUAAUGUAGUUUUAAUUGGUGAAUAUUAUGUGUAGAUAAAAGCUUAUACAGUUUAGUCCACAGGGAUGUUGUUACAAGUGAAAACAUAUAUAUUAAAAGUUAUGUAUGUGUUAGAUUCGUACGCCGCUUGUGGCUUGAUAUGGACAUGCAAGCUUCUACAUUUAAUAAAUGUCUUUUAACCCAUUGUUGUGCUCUGUCAUUGGUAACGAUACCAAGUGUAUUUAAAAGUUAUGUCUGUACUUAUUCAUUCGAGGUUCGCAGCUAGAUUUUCUGGAUCCGACAUCAGUUGUGCGUACUUAUAAGCAUGUGAACUAAUUUUAAAAAGGUUUCGGAGGAGAUAAACUAACGUUAUUUCGUCUACAGGCAUGGUCAAUCAAAGAAUUUCCUCCAUGUUUCGCUCACAAUUUGCGAUUGAAGCGCAUCUCCUUCGAUUUCUGCUUCGUAAUGCCUCCUCUUCAUUUUCGCUUCUUAAGCUUCGAAGGAAUUAGGCUUAGUAGUGGCGCUUCGCUGGUCGCAUUUGGCUUUAAGAUGGCUAAGAAAGCCAAUCCCUUCUUCUGAAUCGAACAUUAACAUCCUUAACAAAAAGCAUCAUCCUCUUGACAUUGGAAAUUUUUAUAAAUCGUUGACCAAAUCAUAAACCCAAAAAAAUAAUAACAAUAAUAAUUUUAUGACAAGUGUAA
rnacentral:lncRNA from 1 species